AUUGAACGCUGGCGGCAUGCCUAACACAUGCAAGUCGAACGGCAGCACGGUCUAGCUUGCUAGAUGGGUGGCGAGUGGUGCACGGGUGAGUAACGCGUAGGAAUAUGCCUUGAAGUGGGGGAUAACUUGGGGAAACUCAAGCUAAUACCGCAUAAGCUCUUAGGAGGAAAGCUGGGGACCGUAAGGCCUGGCGCUUCAAGAUUAGCCUGCGUCCGAUUAGCUAGUUGGUGGGGUAAGGGCCUACCAAGGCGACGAUCGGUAGCUGGUCUGAGAGGAUGGCCAGCCACACUGGGACUGAGACACGGCCCAGACUCCUACGGGAGGCAGCAGUGGGGAAUAUUGGACAAUGGGGGCAACCCUGAUCCAGCAAUGCCGCGUGUGUGAAGAAGGCCUGAGGGUUGUAAAGCACUUUCAGUGGGGAGGAGGAUUGACAGGUUAAGAGCUAGUUAAUUGGACGUUACCCACAGAAGAAGCACCGGCUAACUCCGUGCCAGCCGCCGCAGUAA
rnacentral:rRNA from 1 species